GUACACACCGCCCGUCACACCACGAGAGUUUGUAACACCCGAAGUCGGUGAGGUAACCUUUUUGGAGCCAGCCGCCUAAGGUGGGAUAGAUGAUUGGGGUGAAGUCGUAACAAGGUAGCCGUAUCGGAAGGUGCGGCUGGAUCACCUCCUUUCUAAGGAA
rnacentral:rRNA from 1 species